CUCCCACCACCUGAAGGAAGGAUGUAACAUGUCUGUUUACAAGGGCAGCUGGAUGGAGCACCAAAUUUGCAGCAACGAGGAAAAAGUGUUCUGGGCAAGUUCUUUAAUUGGGGAAAAAAAAACCAAACAAGCAGGGAGAGGAUUGAACUACUGUGGAAAAAAGGAUCCAGAAACAAAAAUUACAGUAACUGUGUGGUGUAGGAGGCACAAGGAGGAGCAGCAGAGCUUUUACUCAGUGGUGGCUGUGGAGAUACACAAGAGCUAAACUGUAACUCAGUGGUCGCCUGUAACUAAUCAGAGCAUGGAGGACAGAAAGGUAAAUAAUACAACUCUAGUAUUAAAACCUAAUUAGAUCAGAAAUUAGCACUUUGGUUUAUGAGUAGUCUGUUGUAUCAGUCACAUUCACAUCUCACAUCUGCAGCCUGAAGAGCAGGACCUGGACCCAGAACCAAGUCCUGAAGCUCCUGGUUUGGUCAAAAGCUCAAGGUCCUGAGGGUGGUGCCCCUCAGGGCUCCAUACUGGGACCAGGAUGAGCUUCUCUGGACAACUCCUGCCAGGGCCUCAGCCCCUUCACAGUAAAGAAUUUCUCCCCAAUAUCCAAACUAUCCCUGCCCUCCAUCACUUUAAAGCCACGGUCCCUUGUCCUGUUGUUCCAUGCCCUUACCCAAAGUCCCUUUCCUGCUCCCCUGGAGCCUCUUCAGAUGCUGAAAGGUCUCCCUCAAACCUUCUAUUCUCCAGGCUGAAGAAAACUCAGGGUGUCUCCACAGUAGAGCUGCCCCAACCCUCUGACAUUUACAUUUCUAUACACACACACUCCAUGCUAUAAACUGCAUUCUAAAUAAGCUCUGUAGUGACUCACCUAAUCACAUCAGUUAAUUUUAAAAAUUCAAAAGCUGUUAACAGUAGCAAUACAAAAUUCAAAUAAGAGAAAUCAGUGUUUAUGGGGAAUAAAACAGAGAAUGUAACAGAACUGAUAAAGGAGCCUAAUAGCUCAGGCCUGAUCGAGCAAAAACUGGGAGACACAGGUAAGUGGUCCCUGGGCAGUAAGUGAUCAAGAAACAAGUUGUGAAACUUUGUGAUAAUGUUACCAGGUGAUGUCAUGAAGAAUGUGCAAGCAGUGGAAAUUGUUACCAAAAACAGAACCCUGUAUGAGUGCCAUACAAGUAAAACCCUAUAUAAAUGCCUUGUAUACUCAAUAAAAUUGGCUUCUGAUCUCGACUCGGAUGUCCCCAUCUCUCAAUUGCUGGGUAGAUAUUCUAGCUGUGUGAUGCAGAGGUUAUUCCAGUCUCCUUCAGCUCACAGUAUCUGUCAAAGUAGGUCACUUUCAAAGACCGGAUGAAGCAAAAAAAUCUCUUCCACACUUCAAAAGAAGCAUUUACUUACAUGUUUCAUAUGGAAAAUAAAUUAAAAAUGUAGCACACAGACUUCUAAAAAAUAAAGUUUCAAAGCACACCCAAGCCCAAUCCAGAUAUUUAGACUCCAAGAGAAUUUGCUCCACAGACAACCAAAAGGAUCUGUUUCAUGGAGGUGGUUUAUUGUAAGAAUUUACAGAUUUCUGGGGCUUUUCCACUUCUUCACAAGAUAACAGAGCAGUCUUGUUAA